CUGACAGCAACAUGCUGGCUUUGCAGAAGAGUAACACAGAGAAAGAGUAGAAUAAGAAAGUCCUCCCGAGCCUGGAUCAAUGAAGGCUACUGUAAAGAGAGAGAGUAAACACAUUAAGCUCUAUGAGUGCUGCGGUUAUGACCUAGAACCCCCGAAAAGGGACUGUCUGCAGAGAUUGUCUGGUUGGUCAAUACCAUGGAGAGGCUGGAAUGUUGCAGAUCCAAAGGCUAAUUACCUUAUCUUGGGCUAGCUUUAGCACCCCAGAGCAGCCAUUCCUUACUUUGUGUUCCGAGCUAACAUCCUGUUACUAACAGAUUAAAGAUCCUUGGAAUCUAUUGACCUCACAGGCCCACUAAGUUCCAUCAACAGAAAAGAGACCACAAGAGUGCACCACCUUUCCUGGAGCUGAAGUUACAGAAGGUUAUGAGCUACUGUGUUGGUUCUGGAAACAAGACCUAGGGUCCUCUGCAAAAGCAGCAGAAUACUUAUUUGCUGAGGUAUCUCUCCAGCCCCUCAACUUCAUUCUUUUCACUCCCCCCCCCCCUUAAUACAUGUGUAAAUCUAUUUCAAGUCACAUUGACAAUCUGGAAAUAUAUAAAAAUGAUUCCCCCAU
rnacentral:lncRNA from 1 species